CCUACGGGGGGCAGCAGUCGAGAAUCAUUCACAAUGGGGGAAACCCUGAUGGUGCGACGCCGCGUGGGGGAAUGAAGGUCUUCGGAUUGUAAACCCCUGUCAUGUGGGAGCAAAUUAAAAAGAUAGUACCACAAGAGGAAGAGACGACUAACUCUGUGCCAGCAGCCGCGGUAAUACAGAGGUCUCAAGCGUUGUUCGGAAUCACUGGGCGGAAAGCGUGCGUAGGCUGUUUCGUAAGUCGGGUGUGAAAGGCGCGGGCUCAACCCGCGGACGGCACAUGAUACUGCGAGACUAGAGUAAUGGAGGGGGAACCGGAAUUCUCGGUGUAGCAGUGAAAUGCGUAGAUAUCGAGAGGAACACUCGUGGCGAAGGCGGGUUCCUGGACAUUAACUGACGCUGAGGCACGAAGGCCAGGGGAGCGAAAGGGAUUAGAUACCCCGGUAGUC
rnacentral:rRNA from 1 species